UGUGGGUUAGCUCAGUGGUUAGAGCUUAGGUCUUGUGACUGGAAGGUCCCGGGAUCGAUUUUCGCAGAGGCAG
rnacentral:tRNA from 1 species